rfam:Beta vulgaris subsp. vulgaris contig112227.1, whole genome shotgun sequence.
AAGUUCCUCUACUCGGCAAGGAGUAGCGAUCCACCGAGACACCGAGUCAUGGGCCGAAGCCGGCGACGGUCAGGUUAAGCGUUGACAGGUGAAAGUGCAGGCACGGUAUUGAGCUCCGAAAUCACCGUUGGGAACGCCGACCUUGUUGGGUGACGGGGAAGGCAAUACGAGGUUCCGCGCUAGCGCGAGCGGAUCACUCGGUUCCCCGGAGUCAGCAGACUC